rnacentral:rRNA from 1 species
AUUGAACGCUGGCGGCAGGCCUAACACAUGCAAGUCGAGCGGAUGACGGGAGCUUGCUCCUUGAUUCAGCGGCGGACGGGUGAGUAAUGCCUAGGAAUCUGCCUGGUAGUGGGGGACAACGUUUCGAAAGGAACGCUAAUACCGCAUACGUCCUACGGGAGAAAGCAGGGGACCUUCGGGCCUUGCGCUAUCAGAUGAGCCUAGGUCGGAUUAGCUAGUUGGUGGGGUAAUGGCUAACCAAGGCGACGAUCCGUAACUGGUCUGAGAGGAUGAUCAGUCACACUGGAACUGAGACACGGUCCAGACUCCUACGGGAGGCAGCGGUGGGGAAUAUUGGACAAUGGGCGAAAGCCUGAUCCAGCCAUGCCGCGUGUGUGAAGAAGGUCUUCGGAUUGUAAAGCACUUUAAGUUGGGAGGAAGGGCAGUAAGUUAAUACCUUGCUGUUUUGACGUUACCGACAGAAUAAGCACCGGCUAACUCUGUGCCAGCCGCCGCUGUAA